rnacentral:rRNA from 1 species
GAUGAACGCUGGCGGCGUGCCUAACACAUGCAAGUCGAACGAUGAAGCCGGAGCUUGCUCUGGUGGAUUAGUGGCGAACGGGUGAGUAACACGUGAGUAACCUGCCCUUGACUCUGGGAUAAGCGCUGGAAACGGCGUCUAAUACCGGAUACGAGCUUCCACCGCAUGGUGAGUUGCUGGAAAGAAUUUCGGUCAAGGAUGGACUCGCGGCCUAUCAGCUUGUUGGUGAGGUAACGGCUCACCAAGGCGACGACGGGUAGCCGGCCUGAGAGGGUGACCGGCCACACUGGGACUGAGACACGGCCCAGACUCCUACGGGAGGCAGCAGUGGGGAAUAUUGCACAAUGGGCGCAAGCCUGAUGCAGCAACGCCGCGUGAGGGACGAAGGCCUUCGGGUCGUAAACCUCUUUUAGCAGGGAAGAAGCGAAAGUGACGGUACCUGCAGAAAAAGCACCGGCUAACUACGUGCCAGCAGCCGCCGCGG